UACGUAGGGGGCAAGCGUUGUCCGGAAUCGAUUGGGCGUAAAGCGCGUGUAGGCGGCUUCGUAAGUCCGUUGUGAAAGUCCAGGGCUCAACCCUGGAAUGCCGAUGGAUACUGCGGAGCUAGAGUCCGGAAGAGGCGAGUGGAAUUCCUGGUGUAGCGGUGAAAUGCGCAGAUAUCAGGAGGAACACCAAUGGCGAAGGCAGCUCGCUGGGACGGUACUGACGCUGAGACGCGAAAGCGUGGGGAGCGAACAGG
rnacentral:rRNA from 1 species